UACGUAGGGAGCAAGCGUUGUCCGGAAUCAUUGGGCGUAAAGCGCGCGUAGGUGGCUUCGUAAGUCCGCUGUGAAAGUCAAAGGCUCAACCUUUGAAAGCCGGUGGAUACUGCGGAGCUAGAGUCCGGAAGAGGCGAGUGGAAUUCCUGGUGUAGCGGUGGAAUGCGCAGAGUAUCAAGGAGGAACACCAAUAGCGAAGGCAGCUCGCUGGGACGGCACUGACGCUGAGACGCGAAAGCGUGGGGAGCGAA
rnacentral:rRNA from 1 species